rnacentral:misc_RNA from 1 species
CACCAAUCACGCCUGGCGUGGUGUUGGGCGACGGGGGGUCCCCCCGCGCCCCAAUGACCCCGGCGGGACGGACCGAAUCUCAGCGUUGUGAUCAACAAGCCGCUGGCGAGACGGGACGGCCGUGCCGUGAAAACAACCCCCAUCACAA